rnacentral:rRNA from 1 species
CACUGCCGAGAAAAGCCUCUAGAUAGAAAAUAGGUGCCCGUACCGCAAACCGACACAGGUAGUCAAGAUGAGAAUUCUAAGGUGAGCGAGCGAACUCUCGUUAAGGAACUCGGCAAAAUGACCCCGUAACUUCGGGAGAAGGGGUGCUCUUUAGGGUUAACGCCCAGAAGAGCCGCAGUGAAUAGGCCCAAGCGACUGUUUAUCAAAAACACAGGUCUCUGCUAAACCGUAAGGUGAUGUAUAGGGGCUGACGCCUGCCCGGUGCUGGAAGGUUAAGAGGAGUGGUUAGCUUCUGCGAAGCUACGAAUCGAAGCCCCAGUAAACGGCGGCCGUAACUAUAACGGUCCUAAGGUAGCGAAAUUCCUUGUCGGGUAAGUUCCGACCCGCACGAAAGGCGUAACGAUUUGGGCACUGUCUCAACGAG